AGAGUUUGAUCCUGGCUCAGAUUGAACGCUGGCGGCAGGCCUAACACAUGCAAGUCGAGCGGUAGAGAGAAGCUUGCUUCUCUUGAGAGCGGCGGACGGGUGAGUAAUGCCUAGGAAUCUGCCUGGUAGUGGGGGAUAACGUUCGGAAACGGACGCUAAUACCGCAUACGUCCUACGGGAGAAAGCAGGGGACCUUCGGGCCUUGCGCUAUCAGAUGAGCCUAGGUCGGAUUAGCUAGUUGGUGAGGUAAUGGCUCACCAAGGCGACGAUCCGUAACUGGUCUGAGAGGAUGAUCAGUCACACUGGAACUGAGACACGGUCCAGACUCCUACGGGAGGCAGCAGUGGGGAAUAUUGGACAAUGGGCGAAAGCCUGAUCCAGCCAUGCCGCGUGUGUGAAGAAGGUCUUCGGAUUGUAAAGCACUUUAAGUUGGGAGGAAGGGUUGUAGAUUAAUACUCUGCAAUUUUGACGUUACCGACAGAAUAAGCACCGGCUAACUCUGUGCCAGCAGCCGCGGUAAUACAGAGGGUGCAAGCGUUAAUCGGAAUUACUGGGCGUAAAGCGCGCGUAGGUGGUUUGUUAAGUUGGAUGUGAAAUCCCCGGGCUCAACCUGGGAACUGCAUUCAAAACUGACAAGCUAGAGUAUGGUAGAGGGUGGUGGAAUUUCCUGUGUAGCGGUGAAAUGCGUAGAUAUAGGAAGGAACACCAGUGGCGAAGGCGACCACCUGGACUGAUACUGACACUGAGGUGCGAAAGCGUGGGGAGCAAACAGGAUUAGAUACCCUGGUAGUCCACGCCGUAAACGAUGUCAACUAGCCGUUGGGAGCCUUGAGCUCUUAGUGGCGCAGCUAACGCAUUAAGUUGACCGCCUGGGGAGUACGGCCGCAAGGUUAAAACUCAAAUGAAUUGACGG
rnacentral:rRNA from 1 species